rnacentral:rRNA from 1 species
UACGGAGGGGGCGAGCGUUAUUCGGAAUUACUGGGCGUAAAGUGUGCGCAGGCGGCGCUGCAAGUCGAGUGUGAAAUCCCCGAGCUUAACUUGGGAAUUGCGCUCGAAACUACGGCGCUGGAGUAUGGCAGAGGAAGGUGGAAUUCCACGUGUAGCGGUGAAAUGCGUAGAGAUGUGGAGGAACACCGAUGGCGAAGGCAGCCUUCUGGGCCAAUACUGACGCUCAUGCACGAAAGCGUGGGGAGCAAACAGG